CCCUUCAGAGGGGGACAACAGUUGGAAACGACUGCUAAUACCGCAUACGAUCCAAUCUCGGCAUCGAGACUGGAUGGAAGGUGGCCUCUAUUUAUAAGCUAUCACUGAAGGAGGGGAUUGCGUCUGAUUAGCUAGUUGGAGGGGUAACGGCCCACCAAGGCGAUGAUCAGUAGCCGGUCUGAGAGGAUGAACGGCCACAUUGGGACUGAGACACGGCCCAG
rnacentral:rRNA from 1 species